AGGGUGCACUGGGGACCGUGGUACUGCCACCCAGUGUGCCAACUGUCUUCGGUGGUUUCCUCGCCUCUGGAAUUUGCAGGAAGAGCCCAGAGGUGACCUGCACAUCCCCCUACCCUAAUGACAGCAAAGCAAGAGAUGGGGAUGAAAAGUCCAGGAGGUCACAUUGCCUGCCCAAGGCCACAUAACUCACUCAGAUCAAAGAUUCAUCCUCCAUGCUGCUGGCCUGAAGCACCCUGGGUACUACCUGCACUCUGUAGACAAGACCUCAUCAUUGAACUUGUGAAAUCCGGGAGAACCUCCUGUCUCUGUCUCCCAGUGUGGGGGUUACAGAUGCAUGUGGCCACAUCUGACUUGCUCACGGAUCUGAACUCAUGUCCUCAUGCCUGUGUGGUAGAUUCCUUACCCUUUGAGCUAUCUCACUGGCUCUCAGGUGAAAUGUGAACCACAAGCCCAGAGGAGGCAACAUCUCCAGAUCCAUAGGAAAAGCUACUUUCAGAUGGCCACUGGCCAAUCAGCCAGCCAGUUCCAGUUGGAGAUACCCUGGUCAACAUGGGGGUCUGGCGCUCUGAAUUUAAGUCUUCAACAAUCAGAUGAUUUUCUAGCAAAGAAAUCCCUCCAAGAAGAAAUCUUGGGGUCUCUAGUGACUAAGUAGACUUGUUUAAGCAAGUCACGUGGAAAGAGGAAACACUGGCUGGGUCAAAGGGACUGGUUCUGCUCACAUUCGGCCACCAGCUCCCUGCACGGCCAUCAUCGGCAGCCUCAACCUCUGGAUCUCGGCCUUCAACUCUGAACUGGUCUCUGGGUCUUGACUCUGGGUCAGGCCUUCUCUGUGGACAGCAUCACCUCUGUAGCUCUGCUUUGUGAUCGAGGUGGCCUUGUUCUCCCGCUUCCAACUCUUCCAUGGCAAGGAGCCGUGCUCAGGGCUGGCCAGCACUGUCGGGCCAGUGGGAACGGGGACAACACAAAGCAGCAGGAAGCCAGGCUAGAUAUUCUCUACAGCCAGGGCCCACACUCCCUCUGAAUCCUAUUGAAAAAAUAAUAAAAAGGUAAUUACUUUGUCAUUACUGAA